rnacentral:rRNA from 1 species
GACGUAGGGUCCGAGCGUUGUCCGGAUUUACUGGGCGUAAAGCGUGCGCAGGCGGCGCGUUAAGACAGGUGUGAAAGCCCCCGAGCUUAACUUGGGAAUUGCGCUUGUGACUGGCGUGCUGGAGUGUGGCAGAGGGAGGUGGAAUUCCACGUGUAGCAGUGAAAUGCGUAGAGAUGUGGAGGAACACCGAUGGCGAAGGCAGCCUCCUGGGCCAGCACUGACGUUCAUGCACGAAAGCGUGGGGAGCAAACAGG